ACUGGUGUCUGAUGAAAUUAAGUCGAGCCGGAUGUAUCUUUGGAGAAAUCCCGGAACCUCAUUGAAACUGAAGCAGCUUUUAAGACCAAAGCGUUUCCUUUUCAAUGAAGAAAAUAGUAUCAAACUACUUGACAGAAUAAAGGGUACUUUGGAGUUGGAUGGUGACCUGGACACACUUGAUUUUCUGUUUGAUGUGAUGAUGCCUGAAGUCACCAUCCACAUCAUCAGAAAGAACGACAGCGUUUGCC